ACACGUAGGGGCCUGACGUUGUUCGGAAUCAUUGGGCGUAAAGGGCGUGCAGGCGGUCCUGCAAGUCCGGCGUGAAAGACCCCGGCCCAACCGGGGGGACGCGCUGGAAACUGCAGGGCUUGAGUACAGGAGGGGAUGCCGGAAUUCCAGGUGUAGGGGUGAAAUCUGUAGAUAUCUGGAAGAACACCAAUGGCGAAGUCAGGGAUCUGGCCAUGUACUGACGCUGAGACGCGAAGGUGCGGGGAGCAAACAGGUUUAGAUACCCUGGUAGUCCGCACAGUAAACGAUGUGCACCAGGUGGCGGGGGGUCGACCCCCGGUACGGUAGCUAACGCAUUAAGUGCACCGCCUGGGGAGUAUGCUCGCAAGGGUGAAACUCAAAUGAAUUGACGGGG
rnacentral:rRNA from 1 species